rnacentral:rRNA from 1 species
GUGUCAGCAGCCGCGGUAAUACGAAGGGCCCGAGCGUUGCGCGGAAUCAUUGGGCUUAAAGAGUGCGUAGGCGGACCCGUAAGUGCCUUGUGAAAUCCCACGGCUCAACCGUGGAACUGCUCGGCAGACUGCGGGUCUUGAGACCGGUAGAGGUCGCCGGAACGUUAGGUGGAGCGGUGAAAUGCGUAGAUAUCUAACGGAACGUCCAAGGCGAAGGCAGGCGACUGGGCCGGUACUGACGCUGAGGCACGAAAGCGUGGGGAGCGAACGGGAUUAGAUACCCCGGUAGUCCACGCCCUAAACGAUGUGCACUAGAUCGUGAGGACUCUCACGUCAACACGGUCGAAGCGAAAGCGAUAAGUGCACCGCCUGGGGAGUACGGUCGCAAGGCUAAAACUCAAAGGAAUUGACGGGGGCUCACACAAGCGGUGGAGCAUGUGGCUUAAUUCGAAGCAACGCGAAGAACCUUAUCCAGGGUUUGACAUGUACGGAUUAACUCCUUGAAAGGGGAGCCACGCUCUUUGAGUGGAACGUACACAGGUGCUGCAUGGCUGUCGUCAGCUCGUGCUGUGAAGUGUCGGGUUAAGUCCCUUAACGAGCGAAACCCCUGUCGUUAGUUGCCAGCGCGUCAUGGCGGGGACUCUAACGAGACUGCCGGUGUUAAACCGGAGGAAGGUGGGGAUGACGUCAAGUCCUCAUGGCCUUUAUGCCCUGGGCUGCACACGUGCUACAAUGGUGCGUACAGAGCGACGCAAUACCGUAAGGUGGAGUAAAUCGCAAAAAGCGCGCCUCAGUUCAGAUCGGGGUCUGCAACUCGACCCCGUGAAGAUGGAAUCGCUAGUAAUCGCGUAUCAGCAACGACGCGGUGAAUGUGUUCCUGA